rnacentral:rRNA from 1 species
UACGUAGGCAGCAAGCGUUGUUCGGAGUUACUGGGCGUAAAGAGUGCGUAGGCGGUCCUGUAAGUUUGGUGUGAAAUCUCCCGGCUCAACUGGGAGGGUGCGCCGAAGACUGCAGGGCUUGAGUAUGGGAGAGGUAAGCGGAAUUCCUGGUGUAGCGGUGAAAUGCGUAGAUAUCGUAAGGAAGACCAGUGGCGAAGGCGGGUCUCUGGACAGUUCCUGACGCUGAGGCACGAAGGCCAGGGGAGCAAACGGG